UACGUAGGGUCCGAGCGUUGUCCGGCAUUAUUGGGCGUAAAGGGCUCGUAGGCGGUUUGUCGCGUCGGGAGUGAAAACACCGGGCUUAACUCGGUGCUUGCUUUCGAUACGGGCAGACUGGAGGUAUGCAGGGGAGAACGGAAUUCCUGGUGUAGCGGUGAAAUGCGCAGAUAUCAGGAGGAACACCGGUGGCGAAGGCGGUUCUCUGGGCAUUACCUGAUGCUGAGGAGCGAAAGUGUGGGGAGCGAACAGG
rnacentral:rRNA from 1 species